rnacentral:rRNA from 1 species
UGGGGAAUUUUGGACAAUGGGCGAAAGCCUGAUCCAGCAAUGCCGCGUGUGUGAAGAAGGCCUUCGGGUUGUAAAGCACUUUUGUCCGGAAAGAAAUCCUUGGCUCUAAUACAGUCGGGGGAUGACGGUACCGGAAGAAUAAGCACCGGCUAACUACGUGCCAGCAGCCGCGGUAAUACGUAGGGUGCAAGCGUUAAUCGGAAUUACUGGGCGUAAAGCGUGCGCAGGCGGUUUGCUAAGACCGAUGCGAAAUCCCCGGGCUCAACCUGGGAGCUGCAUUGGUGACUGGCAGGCUAGAGUAUGGCAGAGGGGGGUAGAAUUCCACGUGUAGCAGUGAAAUGCGUAGAGAUGUGGAGGAAUACCGAUGGCGAAGGCAGCCCCCUGGGCCAAUACUGACGCUCAUGCACGAAAGCGUGGGGAGCAAACAGGAUUAGAUACCCUGGUAGUCCACGCCCUAAACGAUGUCAACUAGUUGUGGGGAUUCAUUUCCUUAGUAACGUGGCUAACGCGUGAAGUUGACUGCCUGGGGAGUACGGUCGCAAGAUUAAAACUCAAAUGAAUUGACGGGGUCAUAGCUGUUUCC